AGUGAACGCUGGCGGUAGGCCUAACACAUGCAAGUCGAACGGCAGCACAGGAGAGCUUGCUCUCUGGGUGGCGAGUGGCGGACGGGUGAGGAAUACAUCGGAAUCUACUUUUUCGUGGGGGAUAACGUAGGGAAACUUACGCUAAUACCGCAUACGACCUACGGGUGAAAGCAGGGGACCUUCGGGCCUUGCGCGAUUGAAUGAGCCGAUGUCGGAUUAGCUAGUUGGCGGGGUAAAGGCCCACCAAGGCGACGAUCCGUAGCUGGUCUGAGAGGAUGAUCAGCCACACUGGAACUGAGACACGGUCCAGACUCCUACGGGAGGCAGCAGUGGGGAAUAUUGGACAAUGGGCGCAAGCCUGAUCCAGCCAUAUCGCGUGGGUGAAGAAGGCCUUCGGGUUGUAAAGCCCUCUUGUUGGGAAAGAAAUCCUGCUGGCUAAUACCCGGUUGGGAUGACGGUACCCAAAGAAUAAGCACCGGCUAACUUCGUGCCAGCCGCCGCAGUAA
rnacentral:rRNA from 1 species